CCGUAACUAUAACGGUCCUAAGGUAGCGAAAUUCCUUGUCGGGUAAGUUCCGACCCGCACGAAUGGUGUAACGAUCUGGGCACUGUCUCAACUACCCGCCCGGCGAAAUUGUAGUACCGGUGAAGAUGCCGGUUACCUGCGACAAGACGGAAAGACCCCAUGGAGCUUUACUGUAGCUUGAUAUUGGGUUUCGGUAAUUUAUGUACAGGAUAUGUGGGAGACUGGGAAGUUAUGGCGCCAGCCAUAAUGGAGUCGAUGUUGGGAUACCACACUUAGAUUGCUGGAAUUCUAACCUGUGGCCAUGAAACUGGUCAGGGGACAUUGUCAGGUGGGCAGUUUGACUGGGGCGGUCGCCUCCGAAAGAGUAACGGAGGCGCUCAAAGGUUGGCUCAGCACGGACGGAAACCGUGCAUUAGAGUGUAAACGCGCAAGCCAGCCUAACUGCGAGGGUGACGGCCCGAGCAGUAACGAAAGUUGGAGUUAGUGAUCCGGCGGUAUGUGAAUGGAAAUGCCGUCGCUCAACGGAUAAAAGCUACCCUGGGGAUAACAGGCUGAUCUCCCCCAAGAGUCCACAUCGACGGGGAGGUUUGGCACCUCGAUGUCGGCUCAUCACAUCCUGGGGCUGUAUUCGGUCCCAAGGGUUCGGCUGUUCGCCGAUUAAAGUGGUACGCGAGCUGGGUUCAGAACGUCGCGAGACAGUUCGGUCCCUAUCUGUCGUGGGCGCAGGAUAUUUGAGGAGCUCUGUCCUUAGUACGAGAGGACCGGGAUGGACGUACCUCUGGUGCACCAGUUGUCACGCCAGUGGCACAGCUGGGCAGCUAUGUACGGAACGGAUAAACGCUGAAAGCAUCUAAGCGUGAAGCCGACUCCAAGAUUAGAUAUCCCAUCAGAAUAUGAGUAAGACCCCUUGUAGACUACGAGGUUGAUAGGCUGCGUGUGUAAGCAUGGUGACAUGUUCAGCUUGGCAGUACUAAUAGGUCGAGGGCUUGACCAC
rnacentral:rRNA from 1 species